rfam:Brachypodium distachyon strain Bd21 chromosome 5, whole genome shotgun sequence.
AGAACUAGGUGUAGCCAAGGACAACCUGCCGGCUAACUCAAGGCUCAACAAAGCUGCAAUUCCCCCAACACCAGGAGCCGGCAAGUCAUCCUUGGCUGCAUCCCCUUCUCU